UUCCCUCUUCACCGUCUCUAACCUGUCUCCCCUCCCUGAUUGGCUGGGUUGAAGAAGAAAAGAAGCUGAGGAAGGGGGAGGGGAGGAGUCAGGGGAAAGGUUACACGAACAGGCUGGGGAGAGAAUGAGGUCAGCUCUACCAAGGAGCAGAUGGAGGGGCCGUGGGGGACAGGGCAGACACCAGCAGGAAGAUUUUGAAAGGAGAAGUGGGAGGCAACUGCCCAGAGGUCUGUGGAUUUGGACUUCUUGGGGAAAAGAAUGCUGUCAGGAAGGGUUUUAAGGGACACCAGGGCAGGUGUGGCUGAAUCUCCAUGUGUUGUUUGGCUUUCUGAGGGAUGUUAGUGCCAAACUUGUAUAGGGGUGGGGUGCUGUCUUCCACUGACACCCAGAUCCAGAAUCCUUGGUCUUGAGUCCCCUGUCCUUUCUCCAUCCCCCCCCCCCACCCACCAUGGAAAUGUAGUUCUUUUCUGGCCCUUUCCCCUGCCUGGUCUAGCAAUUCUUGGAACAGCCAUGCCUUCCAAAUGCUAUCAACCUGGGCCCUGAGCCCUGUAAGCAGAUGCCCCAGAGCUGGGGUGUGAGAGAGGGGCUGGGGGACCCCAUGAUACAGCCACGGACUCCAAUGCCCAGCCCUUUCCAAAUAACCCCAUGUCCCCACCCCAACCCUUUGCGGCUCUGUACACAUUUUUAAACCUGGCAAAAGAUGAAGAGAAUAUUGUAAAUAUAAAAGUUUAACUGUUG
rnacentral:lncRNA from 1 species